GACGAACGCUGGCGGCGUGCCUAAUACAUGCAAGUAGAACGCUGAAGAGAGGAGCUUGCUCUUCUUGGAUGAGUUGCGAACGGGUGAGUAACGCGUAGGUAACCUGCCUGGUAGCGGGGGAUAACUAUUGGAAACGAUAGCUAAUACCGCAUAAAAUUGAUUAUUGCAUGAUAAUUAAUUGAAAGAUGCAACUGCAUCACUACCAGAUGGACCUGCGUUGUAUUAGCUAGUUGGUGAGGUAACGGCUCACCAAGGCGACGAUACAUAGCCGACCUGAGAGGGUGAUCGGCCAAACUGGGACUGAGACACGGCCCAGACUCCUACGGGAGGCAGCAGGAGGGAAUCUUCGGCAAUGGGGGGAACCCUGACCGAGCAACGCCGCGUGAGUGAAGAAGGUUUUCGGAUCGUAAAGCUCGGUUGUAAGAGAAGAACGGGUGUGAGAGUGGAAAGUUCACACUGUGACGGUAUCUGACCAGAAAGGGACGGCUAACUACGUG
rnacentral:rRNA from 1 species